GUUUGGAAGAGCAUGGCAAACCUCCUUUUUGAUUGUAUUUUAUAUGGUUACUUUUGUACCUUAUUUGAUUGGCAAGUGAUGACAUUCUUUGUCCUUAGUGACUUUCCUAACCCCUCAGAAAAGAAUCCAGAGCUUAUGUAAUUUAUUAUUAUUGGGAACACUGUUGGGGUUUUAAAAUAAUAGUUGUUGUAGUCUAAGGAUAUAGAAGAAGCAAGACUUCUAGGAAAAGGUAAUAACAUUUAGCAGAGGAAUUGAUUCAGACUGAGAAAUGGAAAAGCUUUCAAGGGCCUUUCCUCACAAAUGUUUCCUCUCAUACGACUUUUUAAAUCUGUGUGAAACAAGGAAGGGUAUUAAGUACUGUAAAUCUACAGGAUGGGUCUGACCUUGAGUCUCAGGCACAGGAAAAUAUUUAGCAAGUCUUUGUGACUCCUAUCUACAGCUGAAAAAAUAUUAUGAGUUAUUCAGCAAAUUAUUUGGUAAUACAUUCUAAUGCUAUUACAACGCAGUGUCAAAUGGCAUUCCAAGCUGGAUUUCACACAUAGCUACUGGGGCUUAACUAGAAGAAUAUCAUCUGCUGCUUCUAAAACAUCUUUGACCUUCAGGUUUAGUAAACCCUGAAUGAAAUACCUAGCUGACUGACUGGCAGGAGCGAAGGGUGCAAGGCAAAGAGCUAAAAGCAUCGCAGAGCUUCGCUAACUCAACCAGACUUUGGGUUUCAGGUGGUGUUACUUCACAUACCACUGAAUUGUCUCAGCACUAAAAUGAUAAAAUUACCAACCCAGUUGCCAACACUGGUAAUCAUCUUGGAUUUUCUAAGCUGCCUCUUACCUCAGUGUCUGCACGAGAGCAUCUUCAGGGCCAUAUUGUUUUGACACUGACACAUUUGUAUCUGGCAGUCCUGGAGGGUUGAUUCAAUCAGCAAAUGGUUAAAUAAGCACAAACCAACCCAAACUUCAGUAUUUGAAAUACAGUGUCUGAUGUAGCUUGAAGAGUUCUGAAGUAUCACUAGAGGCUGCUCUUCUGUUCAUCCUUCCGACUACUAUAAGUAUUUCCACAUUUGUCAAUGGAGCCUGAAUUAAGGGGCUGAUGCUAACUCAUGA